rnacentral:siRNA from 1 species
UUGUGCUGCCUCGUUACAAUCACA